GAUUAACGCUGGCGGCGUGCCUAACACAUGCAAGUCGAGCGGCAGCGAGUUUUACACUGAAUUCUGGAAGCUUCUAGUUGAAAGAGAAGAUUUAUUCAAGAAUUUUGUGUAAAAUGUCGGCGAGCGGCGGACGGCUGAGUAACGCGUGGGAACGUACCCCAAAGUGAGGGAUAACGCAUCGAAAGGUGUGCUAAUACCGCAUAUGGUCUUCGGAUUAAAGCCUUCGGGCGCUUUGGGAACGGCCUGCGUAAGAUUAGAUAGUUGGUGGGGUAAUGGCCUACCAAGUCGACGAUCUUUAACUGGUUUGAGAGGAUGAUCAGUCAGACUGGAACUGAGACGCGGUCCAGACUCCUACGGGAGGCAGCAGUGAGGAAUCUUCCACAAUGGGCGAAAGCCUGAUGGAGCAACGCCGCGUGCAGGAUGAAGGCCUUCGGGUUGUAAACUGCUUUUAUAAGUGAGGAUUAUGACAGUAACUUAUGAAUAAGGAUCGGCUAACUACGUG
rnacentral:rRNA from 1 species